UACGAAGGGGGCUAGCGUUGCUCGGAAUCACUGGGCGUAAAGCGCACGUAGGCGGCUUGUCGCGUCGGGAGUGAAAACCUCGGGCUUAACUCGGGGCUUGCUUUCGAUACGGGCAGACUGGAGGUAUGCAGGGGAGAACGGAAUUCCUGGUGUAGCGGUGAAAUGCGCAGAUAUCAGGAGGAACACCGGUGGCGAAAGCGGCCCCCUGGCCCGGUCCUGACGCUGAGGCGCGAAAGCGUGGGGAGCAAACAGG
rnacentral:rRNA from 1 species